GCGGGGGGGCGUGUCCGGCGGCGCUGCGAGCGGCUUGUUGUGCGCUGCGGAGCCGUUCGCCUCCCGCUGCACGGCCGCGCCGAACCGCAGCGAGACACGUUAUAAGAUGUCUAAUGGUUAUGAAGAUCACAUGGCUGAAGAUUGCAGAGAUGACAUCGGCAGAACAAAUCUCAUUGUGAACUACCUCCCCCAGAACAUGACGCAGGAUGAGCUACGGAGCCUAUUUAGCAGUAUUGGCGAAGUUGAAUCUGCAAAGCUGAUUCGGGACAAAGUUGCAGGACACAGCUUAGGCUAUGGCUUUGUGAACUACGUCACUGCAAAAGAUGCAGAAAGAGCAAUAAACACACUGAAUGGCCUCAGACUGCAGUCAAAAACCAUCAAGGUCUCCUAUGCUCGUCCAAGUUCUGAAGUUAUCAAGGACGCUAAUUUAUACAUCAGUGGGCUCCCGAGGUCGAUGACACAGAAGGAUGUAGAAGAUAUGUUCUCACGUUUUGGGCGCAUCAUCAAUUCCCGUGUACUCGUGGAUCAAACCACAGGUUUAUCCAGAGGGGUCGCAUUUAUCCGGUUUGACAAAAGGUCAGAAGCAGAAGAGGCAAUUACAAAUUUCAAUGGUCACAAACCCCCAGGUUCCUCCGAACCCAUCACGGUGAAGUUUGCAGCCAAUCCCAACCAGAACAAAAACGUGGCACUGUUGUCCCAGCUGUGUCAUUCACCAGCGAGGCGGUUCGGAGGGCCGGUCCACCACCAGGCGCAGAGAUUCAGGUUCUCUCCUAUGGGUGUAGAUCACAUGAGUGGGCUUUCUGGUGUAAAUGUUCCAGGAAACGCAUCUUCUGGCUGGUGUAUCUUCAUCUACAACCUUGGUCAAGAUGCUGAUGAGGGAAUCCUCUGGCAGAUGUUUGGCCCCUUUGGUGCGGUUACCAAUGUGAAAGUUAUUCGGGAUUUCAACACCAACAAGUGCAAAGGUUUUGGUUUUGUGACCAUGACAAACUAUGAAGAAGCUGCAAUGGCCAUAGCAAGUCUUAAUGGCUACCGCCUGGGGGACAAAAUCUUACAGGUUUCCUUCAAAACCAACAAGUCCCACAAAUAACUUGCUCGUGCUUUUUGUAUGGAAUAGAUAAUGGAGUGACAGAAGUUGAAACAUUUUUGUUAGUGUAAAACUCAUUUUGCGCCAAUUUUCACAAGUGUUUGUCUUAGUCUAAAUGAGAAGUGGAAAAGGUUUUAUAUUCUGGGAUGCAACUGACAUGUUCAAAUGUUUGAAAUCCCACAAUGUUAGACCAAUUUUAAGUUGCUUUAAGUUAUUUCAUUUAAAAACAUGUUAAAAAAAAAAUAAUAAUAACAAUCCCCUGAAAUCUGAAGUAGAUUGCAUUUAACUAGACCCUCUGGAUGGUGGUAAAAUUGAAGCAUGCUUUCACUUAUGAGACUAACAUUUGUUCCAUUGAAUGUUGUCUGCAAAAACUGGAAUCUCUUCUAAAAACUAUCAGGCUGAAUUAAUGGAUUUGCUUGUUUCUCAUGUUGUUGUUUUUCUCACCCAUUCUCCUGACCCCUCUGCCCCCCCCUCCCCCUCCCCAACUCGCUAGUAUGGAAGAAAAGUUGAGAAAUACUAAUGUUUUAGUUGACAGUAAAUUUGUUUUGCCGAUUAAUACUCAUUGCUACGUGUCGUUGAGGAUUACGCUUUAUAAAGUCGAGGUCUUGUAAGUAGUAGCAUGCCAGCAUAACUUUUAACACCAUUGAUGAGGUAAGUUGCACACCGAGCAGUGGCCAAGCUGUCAAAUUGAAAGGUUUUAGCAACAUUUCCUUUUAAAGCCCAACAUUUUUAAUAGGAAUGGACCAAAGAGUUUCAAAGAAACUCCGGGAAGAUUUCAGAGUCAAAAUGAAACUCCACAAAAGUGUGAAUAUGUGUCGCUACGUUAUCAAACUGAAUCUCUUCUGUCCAGAUAUUUAAUGCAUGGUGCACUACUUACUGGUACAUUAUAACGCAGCAAGAUACUCGUUUUCAAAGAUCAUUAUAGUCUGAAUUCCUUUGGUAGUUCUAUUUUGUAAAGAAAAAAAAAAAAUUGUAAACAUUUGAGCAUUGUAUUUCUCGCAUCCCUUCUAAUGAGUGCUAGAUUUUUCUAUUUUAAUAGGAUUUUGUUUUGACAACUAGCUUUACUUAUUGAACACUCAGCAGAAAAGUACUUACGACUUGCAAGUUAGAUAUUAACAAAGAAAACCCUUUGAUUUGUAGAUUUAAAGAUUAAUCCCCCAAGUUUUCUGCAGACUGCCUUGAAACUUUGAGUUGUUCUGUUUCUGUUAAUUUUCUUUUGCUUUUUUGUGUUUUUUGUUUGUUUUUACUUUUGCAUUUAAGAACAUUAAAUUUGAUUUUGUUUUGCUCAAAUUUUGUUUUGUUUUUUAUUUUCUGUUAUUUUUUUGCUUAAGUAUUGCACAAAACGUCCAGCUUUCAAGAAAGUGUUGUUUUAUAAAGAGCGUAGUUCCUCUUAAAGAGUCUUAAUUUCGUCCUUUGACAGAUGAGUAGAAGAAAAAGGGAUGUGAAAUGAGAGCACUACAGUACCUCUGUCACUUAGGGCCUAUGUUCCACGGGCUGAUGUAACCCUGCGGUGCUCUUUGGCAGGCCUGGGAAGGACUGUUGGGUACAGGCUGUGUAAGGAUGCUGUGCGUGGUAGAGACAUGCUCUGUGCAACCUGCAGGUAGGUUCAGUUGCCAAAAAAUUAGGGCAAAUGGGAAAACCGGGUCAGUUCUAUUGCAGUGUCUCCUUUUUGUGUGAACCUCUGCCAGUCCCACGCUGUGCCAGAGGCUGAUCCUGGCUGCCUGCAGCGCUCCCAUCCCCUGCUGACCUUGCCUUGCCUUGGGAGAACCUCACUUUCCUUCUUGCAGCAGGACUAGCAGUCACCCCGGGAAACCAGCACCUUCAUUUCUGCACACCACAGCCUGAGAGCAGCUGAACGCACUGCCCAGCCCUGGUACUUGCUCUCAGCACUGCCUGGGAACUGCUGCUGCUGCUAGCUGUGGGUAUGGAUAGGGCGCAGUGAGUGUGCUCCCACUGCCUUUUGAGCGGUGAACUCGGGCAGUGCUGUGCCCUUCUGCACCUUCUGCCUCGCCAGUCCUGCCCAUCCUGCUUGCUCUCUUCUGAGAAGCCCAAUAACGGUACGGAAUUCCAGUACAGGGUAUGGAAGCCCAGUUUGGCACAGUGGUGCUUUGCAAGGCAGUGGCUGUGCUGGAGCAGUCCCCAUAACCAAGCGUGCUGUCUGCCAUCCACUUCUGGCUGUCUGUUCCAGAUGUUUCUGUGUUUAUCAUCUAUUUAUCACUUCAACAAAACCUUUUCUGGUGUGCAAGAAAAGGUUUAGAGGCACUGCUGGGAUCUCUCCCGGAUUACAGCUGCGUAGUGCAGAGCAGUCUUUUUUCUGUGUCCCAUCACCUCUUGGCCUCACUACUUCAUUGUUCCACUGGAGUGAACCUGAAUUGUUUCCAGUUUCCUCUGAUUCUCUCUUGCCUUGUUUCAUGUAAGAUUUUUGUAACCAAGUGGCAGCUGCUGCUUCAUCAGUGGAUCUCAUGCUGAGAUCCACACUUCCCAAAUCUGACUUUGCAUCCAUUACCAUCACAGGCAUGCUGCUCUUCACAUUGCUGCUUCCUCACCAACAACCUCAUUCUCUUUUAACUUUUCUUGGAGGCUUUUUGGCACAACUGUCAUCCAACUGCUUCCUUAUUUUCCCCUCUCCUAUUCUUUACUUAAUAAGAAGAAAAUUCAGGAUAUUGUUUUAGUAGCACUAUGGAAGUUUCCCCUAAGAGAUGUCUGAUCCUGGACUUCUUUGGUAGUUGCUCUGAGAACAGUUACUGGGCAGUUUAGCUAAGCAAAGCGUUGCCUCUUGAGUCAGGAAAGGAGGAAAAAAGUGUCCCACUGAAACACCAAGAGCUGAUGGUGGGAGAAGCACCUGUUGUGUUGGCUGUGCCAUUCUCACAGCUAGUGUUUGUCUUUAGCAGCUGAGCUCAAGAAAUUAAGCGUAUGUAUUCAUGAUGCUUUUGGUCCUACACAGUAAGCUACACAUCAUACUGGUAAAGGGUGAAAGGGAGCUGCUGGAAGUGGAAACUGGCUUAUAAGACCAGGAAGGUGCAAAGAGCUGGGUGUCCUUCCCGCAUCAUCACACACCUCUCUUUCAAGCUGACCCCUAAUUUCACCUCUUUCCAAAGCAGUCUUGGCCUCAUAGCUCUCAGGGACUUGAAGGUAAAAAAAGGGUAUCUGCAGUUCUCAUCCUUCCAUUCGAGGUGUUGUGGUUCCUUUCAGGUGACCCUUCUGUCUCUAAGAUCACAAGGUCUUACUAGAAUAUGACUGGAGCUUGGUCAUGUUGCUCAGCAGUCCCAUCCUAUUGCUGGGUUAGGGUGUUACAAUGGGAUUUUAAGGAACUGGGUUCAAUAGACCAUCCAGGAGAUGUUUUAUGUGGUGUCAGGACCCCGAAUAUGGGACGCUCUCCUUCUCUUAUUCAACAUCCAUCCAUUUCUCUGCUGUUCUUCCAACACCUGCUGUGCUUGGCAGCCCCAAGGGAUGGCUGCGCUGUUUGGGACUGCCCCGGCCCUGCAGGGUGGGCUGUGUUCUUCAGGGACUGCAGGGUUUCACUCUAAAAUGAGACAGUGCUGAGCAGAGAGCUGUCCUGAGGGUGGCUCAGAGCUGCCCCUAAACUUCUCUGAAGAUGUUCUGGAUUUGAGCUGCAGAACUUAACAAACAAACAAACCCACCAAAAUACAGGGGUUUUUUAGGUUGAAAAAUUAAAAAAAAAAAAGAAAAAAAAGGUUUUAACAGAGUUUCCUUGCAGGCUUUGUUCAGGCUGGUCUUUUCUGAUCUGCUGGUAUAUUAAUGAGCUUUUAUUCCCACCCAGCACCUGACACUUGCUUCCCAGAUCCCUGGUAGGAAUGGGGUGCAGCCCCUGCACAGACAUCCUGUUCACCAUCUGCAGAGAGGGUUUUGCACAGUAAAUGCAGAGCAGGGAGCUCCGGUGUUGCUGUGUGCCGUAUGCAAGCUGGCAGAGGCGAGCACAGCCCCUUCAGGUGAAGAAAUCAGAACCAUCAGAAGGGCUCUGGCCAGGGGCAGAAUCAAAGCAGCGUAGCGUUCUGUUUUGUUUUCUCAUGGUUUCAUUUUGGACUGUCUGUACGCUCAAGCGUUGAGUUUCUGUCCUUUGAGCCACGCUGCUUUUCUGCAGUGUCUGUGCUGCACUGUGCUACGUAGAGGGAGGGGAGCUGAGCCCCCGACUGCCCCCAGCCCCUUCCUAUGCUGGGGGGGAGGUCUGUCCCAUAGGGUGGAAGGAGGAGGAGCUGUCACAGCACAGCUCUGAUGCUACCCUCUGGUGCUGGUGUCCUUUGAACCUCUGUGUCGCGAUAGCAUGGACCCCAGUGAACAUGGAGAGGUACACGAAUCACUGAGAUAGGGUGAGCCGUGCAGCUGUCCUGCAGGGUGGCAGAGGCACAGUGUGUUGUGGGCACGUUUGUACAAAGCAAUUAAAAGUGGGCACAGCUACACUGAGAGCAGGAGGGGUCUGCAGCUGCCGAGUAACAGGCGAGGUGAUGCAGAUUUCGGAUGCUAAGUUUCGGAAGCGAGUGGUCCCUAGGGUCCUUAAAUAGUUGUUCUCAUGUUAUUUUAUUUUAAUGUUUGGGUAAGAUCAAUAAAACAAAGAUUUUUCACAUAUUUCAGGAAAGUUUUUUUUUCCCAGUGUAUUCUAAAUUGGAAUAACUGAAGCUGUUUUUCCUUUUGGCUUAGUUUAUCAUUAUGUAUGUGCUUAAGAAACAAACAAAAAAAAAAACCCCAGCCAUUGAGAGCAUCCCCUCGUGAGCUUUUCUACCCAAAGCAGCAGCUGAAUGGUAGAACAAACUGCUUAUUGAAGCGAGGUCCUCCAGGAAACAAAACCCUCUGAGAAGCGGUAGGAUUUGGGGGUGGGUUUAUUUUUCUGUGUAAGACACGGCUUUUUGUGAACUGCUGACGGUGUCCCCGUGGCUCAGCUGCUGGAGCUCAUAUUUUUAUGUAUAUAUUUGUACAUACGGAUGCGUUUGUCCCAGCACUGCCCGGAGGGGUGCUGUGCUGUGCUGUGCAGUGCAGUGCAGGACGAGGCACCUUGCACUGAAGCUCAGGGCAGAAGUGCUGUGGGGAAGGGACCAAAUUCACACCUGGCACAGGAAAACACCGCUCCCUUUUUUGCUCACCUCGUGGUUUUGUCACCCCAAGUGCUUUAAUACCGAUAUUUGGCAGCAAAUCUCGUCUUACUCUGUGCCCUUUGCCGUAGCUCCGCACUUCCCAGUGCUGGUGCUGAGCACCACGCGGGUCGUUACAGCAACCAAAAGCUUAGCACUCGUCUUACACGGUUAUCGCACCCCAUUUGUUUUCUACUCUAAAAAGAAAGCGGUGAAAGAAAAUAGCAAAACUGAGCACAGCCUUCCUGCUCCCAGCGCGGCCGCAGACCUGGCGCAGCGUUCGGCUCCAACCAUUUCUCUGUUUGGGUGGAAUUUCCGCCACGGAACGGUUGGUGUUGGCCAUGGGAGGUGGGUAGGAGUAGGAGCUGCCACUCGGAACCUUGAGAAGCGCUGCGUUCGGAGCCCUUCUUCUCCCUGUUCUCAUUUCCAAAGGGUUGGGCGACCUGUCGGCGGUUCGGCCGAGCGUUCUCAGUUGGUCGUUGAAGACCAGUUGGUCUCAGUUGGUCGUUGGGAAGAACUUGAAACCAGUCAGGACAAACCUUGAUCUGCCAGUAUGAAUCACACUGUACUCCUUUUCUUGAUUUAAUUUCCCUUAUCUUCUGUAAUCUUUUGUUUAUGAAUUAAUCUGUUUGUGGGACAGAAGGUUUUACCGAUUGUUUUCCGUUCUGUACAGUAUACACGGUUAAACAUUUUGUAUAUUUAGUGUGUUUUUAAGUUAUUGGUUUGUUUUAUAUCAAAUAAUUUAUUUUUCAGGUACCAUUUUCAUUUACGCUUUGUUUUUACAUGGGUUUAUUUUAAAUAAAGUAUGACACUGCUUUCCAAAUGUCUGAAACGAAGUGGAAUCCCAUUGUGUUAUUUUGAGAGUAUUUAUGUAAAAAAACGUAUUUUAGAAAGAGUUGCAAAAAUGUACCAAUUCCUUUUGCCCUUCAGCUCAAGUGCUUGGGAAUUCUCCGCUAUUGAUUUCUUUUCUUUUCAAGUGGCUUGAAAAGCUGGGAUUCUCAGAUUGAAACAGUUGAAAGAUGGGUUGAACGCAGCAGCACUUUUGUAGAAUCCUGUGGAUGGAGUGUUGUUUUCUUAUGGUAUUUUCAAAAUUAAAGGAAACAAAGCCUCGAUCCCUCACCCUCGUUUUAAUAUAAAAUUUAAUUUAAUAUGAAAAAGGUUUGGGUUUUUUUUUUUUUGUUAAUUGUUGGCCAACACGUUCCUUGCUGGUUUUGUUAGCUCCUUAUUUAUACCAUGUUUGUCCUGUUCCUCGAUGAGCUGUGGUGGAAGCUGAUGUAUUGCGCAGCGGUGUCGAGCUUUUACGUAAUGGUUCCUCCUUGGUUCUUCUCCUGCAGGAAUUGGGGUUUCUUUGUGCAAUUUGGAAUUCUGAUGUUUUUUUCAGAGUAAUAUGAACUGUGUUUGCAGUUGGGUGGAUUGAGUUUGCUCUGCUAAAGCUUUUGUUACGCGAUGAGAAUGAUGGAAUUAAAAGAAGGCACAGGGCUGACUUUUUACCUUUCAGGAAAAGUUGUUCUCUCCAUCUUAGGACGCUUAUCCCGCUUGAUAAAAAAACUAAAUAAAAUAAUAAUUACAAAAGAGCACCGACACCAAACCAGGCCCCAGCUAUAGGCCAUUUGGGGUUGGUUGGUUGGUUUUUUUUUUUUGCACCUUUUGGACAAAGCCCUUGGGAUGCAGUGCUCCUCCAUCCCCAGGGUCGGGCAGCACCUGGUUGCUCUGGUCUGGGAAGGGUUGGCCCAGUGGGGUGUGCAAAGCGCUCAUGAAGCUGUGCUGGAGGGCCCUGCUGCUGUGCUGCCAGAGCUGCGUGUGCCCCAUGCCUGGAGAUGCCCGAGGCCACGGAGAGCUGAUAGUGUGUCCCUGCCUGGGGUUGGGACUGAUCAGCCCCUCUCCUCCUUCCACCCCAACCAUCCUACGGAAGGCAUAGUGCUGCCAGAUCAGCUCGGAGCUUUGCAGAGCUGCGUUUUCAGUUCUUGCUGCUACAGAAAUGGCCCGGUCUCCCAGUGCUUACCAGAUUGAAAUUGUUCUUCCUGCUGGAGUUUAAAGAGCAGAAAUAGGCAUUUUUGGUUGCUGCCUAUCGAACAGGUUAUGGGAUGUGCAAUAUCUAUUGCAAACAGGAGCUCGUAAUCCCCAGCACAGAAUUUUAGAUGUUUCCUGGCUUCUUUGCAGCAGAACUGCAGCACCUUCAGUGUGAUUCCUCCCAAAGGACAUUACCCCGAUGGGGUUGCUUUGCCCUGGUUCAUACCAGCAACCUUUGUAUCUUUCAAUUCCAUGAGAAGCAAUAAGAGAAAACAUACACUGACAACCAGGAGGUUUUGCUACGAGACAUGCCCAUCAGGUUUGUCCCCCCUGUCAGAAAUGGCCAUUUUUACAAAGAGAAAAAAAAAUCCCAAUCUAGUCUGGCCACAUUAACCCUCGGGUGCAGAUAACUUGGGAUGGAGGUUCCCUCCUGCAGCUCUCCCCUUGGCUGCGGGCUGUGCCAGAGGCUGUUGGUGGCUCAUAGUGCUGUGCUUCUCUGCUGUCACCACCAGAUCUCCCAGAACAGUGAUAGAUGACACUGAUUGCUGUCUCAUUGGUACUCUGCUCUUUAAAAUAUAUAUAUAUUUUUUCCAUUUGAAUAGUACCUCUAUUACAUAAUGCAGUUAAUGUUAUUUUUUGCGGAUUGAUUGACUUCUCUCUGCAGAGCUGCAGCUGGACUGCUCCUCAUGUCCACCCAGGAGCUGACGCAGAGCUUCACCAACUCACGUAAAGAUAGCUGUGACUCUUCGUGCAUUCCCUGAGUAACCAGCAGACUUCUGACACAUCCUUUAACUCAACUUCUAUUUGAAUGUGUUGGAACAGAUCCUGCUCCCAAGCUCAGCCCAGUGCAUGCUGCAGAGAGCAGAGGAGAGCAGAGCAGAAAUGGUUUGGCUUGGGAGCAGUGUGGGGUCGGUGUGAGCGGUGCUGGGCUGCAGCUCAUGUGCCACAGGAGGAGUGUGUGCUCACACUCUCCAGACCUCAGCAUGGUACUGCAGUUCACGUUGGCUCUGGUAAGUAAGUCCCCGUGCUUUUCUGAAAGCAAACAGGUUUGGUCUUGGCCCAAGCAGAAGUGUAAAAUUGGGGUGAAGUGUUUUUGUGAGCACAUAUCCUACCUGACAUCUCUUUGUCUCAGUUUGUCCCCUCUGUUUUGCAUCUGACACGAGUCUUCAUGUGUGUGUGUAUGCAUGUGUUAAAGUGUAGGUUGUCGUUAUAGAUGGUUUAUUUACAACAUGCAUUUAUCUCAGUUGCAUAUAUUGAUGCGUUCUGUGCUCUAUGUGCACACGUACACUGUUCCACAUUCAUACACAGUGUGAAGGUAACUUGCAGAAUCACGUACAUCAUCUUUUUUUAACAGAAAACUUGAAGUAAAAAUAUUUGCUUUUUAUACAAUAAACUCGUACAAAGAUAUAUCCUUAAAAAUCUGAGCUUUUGUCAAACUUCAGAGUCACGAAGAUGUUCGGUAACAGCAGCGCAGUAAUGUGACAAGCAGGAGACAGAGCUUUAAGAGAACAUGGUAUCCACAUUUCUCUAAAACUUCUCAAAAUAACUUCAGACACCUCCAUCUCGUGCAUCAUCUGGUGACACACAGCAUCGCUGCUCUUCAGGAAUUGCUUCCCAUUUGCUUCUCCCCAGGAUCAGAAUGCUGUCACCUCUUUGAGAACUGGCAGUUAGGAAAUGAUGCUUGCUUCUUUUUGGGCCAGCUUUUCUAUUUUAUUCCCUAUUAUUACAAUAUUUUCUGGGCCUUAAUACUCUCAUUCUUUCUUACUGCAGGAAUGGAAGAAGGAAGGCGGCUCAGCUUCAAGAACAUCUGUGAGUGGCAGAGAUUUGGCCUCGCACACCAGCGUGGUUUGGAGUGCCUGGCUGGCCCUGCUCCCCAUCCCUGGAUUCUGGGAUGGACACCUAGAUGCUGCUGGUGGCCAUGGGGAAGGGACAUUGGGCCCGAGUUCAGCUCUUGGUGUCCAUGUAAUGAGUACUGAGCUUGCCAGAACAGCUCUGCUGUCCCCCUCCGAUCUCCCAGUUCCUCUGUGAGCAUGCAUUCUGGUCUGUGGGGAAGGAACAGCGUGAAGCUGAUUCAUUUAAGGCCAUGUCCAAGGAAGGAAGAGAAAGAGAAAAGGACAGGCUGGGUUGAAUUGGUGAAAUUUAGGCAGCCUGACAUCAUCUGAAGUUCGUGAAACCUGCCUUCUGCAGAGCACAGCUGAGUGAUGGUCUUGCAGCUGCUGGGGUUCGGUGCAGCAAAAGAAAGGUGCUGGGUUGAGGAGGCUGUGCAGGACGGUGCUGAGUGAGUGGGAGAGCUCCUCCAUUUUGCCUUUGCUUAGCACUGGGGGUGUCACCCCUUCCUAAGCAUUGUCUUGCAGAAACCAAGGCAGGAAGAUGGGGUGAUGCCCAAGGAGAAGCUCCUUGCAGCAGCUGUGGCUUCCUGCCGUUGGUGCUCGUAGCUGUGUGGAAGCUCAGUGGCUCAUUAAAACACCACGUUGUCAUACUGCUUUAAUGUUUUCAUUAUUUUUUUAAGAAUAACGAGAGGAUUUUUAGCAGUUCCUAUCCUGAUAAAAACCCCAAAGUGUUCAAGUGUCGUAGGCUCAAAUAAGAGGACAUGGGUAGCCAGUGGGUGGCUGGGAGAUUGGCUUGGGAGCAGGCCAGCCAUGAAAGAUGCAGAAGAUGGGGAAGGAUGACACGCUGGGAGAACACUGUAUUUUGCAAAAGCAGAGGUGAUAAGAAUAAGGGUAAGUGCACGGAGCUGGCUACAAUUGCAGAUGCAAAGCAGGAAAGAGAAUGUGCUCUGAGGUGUGUGUGUGUAAUUAGAACAAGGAAGAAAUGUUUUAAUUAGUAUGGGUGGUAAGUUUUGAGUAGAAAGUAGCAGUGAUAGGUGUAUGGGUAAUAGAGGAUGUGGCACACGUAACUUUAACCCCAUCCAUCUUGUCUCUGCUCUGCAACAUGUUUCUAUAGGCUGAAGCCAGGAAACAAAGGCUCCAUGCUGUGCUGAGCUCUGAUGGCUCCAUCCUUGGUCUCAGCGAGGGACAGCAGGGAAAAAUGUUACCCAAGUGUUGGAUAGCACGUUUAACAAUGUGGAGAAGUACUGGAAGUGGAAAGUGCUGUAAGAAAAAUGGCAGUGGGGGAAGCUAAGCAGGAGAUUCUCACCUGGGAGGACACAGCAGUUUGCUUACCUUCCUGGAACACACCUUCAGUUUUUCUUUGCGUUGAAAUAUCACAUGUGCUAUGAAACCCUGAGAUGGAAGUUGCUUGGAGAUCCCAUAGCUCUGAACUUCCAGCCAGGAGAGGUGCUCAGGAGGCAUGAGAAGUGUUGGUGUUCUUGCACAGUCAUCCAGAGGAGCUCACAGACAGGUGUGCAUGUUCAGGAAUUGGAUGCACGGCUCUGACCGGCGAUUACAUGCAUGGAGAACCCCUCUCUUAAGAGGUGACCCAGCUGGAAAUUGACGAGGGAACCUUAGCAGUGGAAAAAUCCACGUGGUGGAUCAAAGAAGUGUGCUUCACAGUGCCACAAGCAUGCAGGAGUGAAGAUAAGAUAAUAAAUGAUGCAGUCCAUGUAUAUGUGCUGUGUCUGUGUGCUUUGGUUGGGGGAUGCAGGAAGCUGGGAAUCGGGGAGUUCUUCGUGUGAGGGGUGGAUCUGGCAGUCCGCAGCCUUGCCAUGUGCUCCGUUGUGGGAGCAUAGGGGGAGGAUGUUGGUGGGGACUUGGCAACCUGGAUGCAUUAGCUUGUGUCUGUGUCACCCUCAGGGCUUUGUUGUGCUGGCUGCGUGGAAGGGAGGCCAGAAACCGUGAACCACUGGAGCAGUUCAGUGGUUUUGUAGCUGAAGAUGAAACUGUAGUGGGAGUGAGGAUGCUGCAGAAGGAGGCAUUCUGUAGAACUGCCAAAAUGUUCAACCUCAGCUUAAAAGAGCUGCAGUGGGAAUUCCACAUCACACUGCAGUGAUGGUGGCAGUCAGCUGAGGACCUGUGAUGUUCAUCACUGGACUGAAGUUCUCAGAAUUUCCUUUGUAACGAUGGCUUCAAUUCAUCUGUUCCUGCAAGGCGGUUCUGGUUGGGCUUGGUGUGCUUUGUCCCAGCUGUCAGCUCUGGGAUGUGUGUCCUCUUUUUGAAACAAAAACAUUUUCUACAGCGGCAUCAAUGCUGUGCACUUGAAAUCCACUCUGAGCUGCUGUUAGACUGGGAAAAAAAAAAAAAAAAAAAA